rnacentral:rRNA from 1 species
GACGAAGGUGGCUAGCGUUGUUCGGUGUCACUGGGCUUAAAGCGUGUGUAGGCGGAAAUGUAAGCGUCUUGUGAAAUCCCCCGGCUUAACCGGGGAAUGGCUGGGCGAACUACGUUUCUUGAGGCAAGUAGGGGUGGCAUGGAACUCUUGGUGGAGCGGUGGAAUGCGUAGAUAUCAAGAGGAACGCCGGUGGUGAAAACGGUGCACUGGGCUUGUCCUGACGCUGAGACACGAAGGCGUGGGGAGCGAACGGGAUUAGAUACCCUCGUA